UGGUCCUAACCUUAAAAUCAACUAUUACUUAGCAUACACAUGCAAGUCUCCGCAUCCCUGUGAAAACGCCCUUAAACUCCUCCACCGGAACAAGGAGCUGGUAUCAGGCUCAACUUUUUAGCCCAAGACACCUAGCCAUGCCACACCCACAAGGGAACUCAGCAGUGAUUAACAUUGAGUAUAAGCGACAGCUUGACUCAGUUAAAGUAAAGAGAGCCGGCAAAUCUGGUGCCAGCCGCCGCGGUUACACCACGUGGCUCAAAUUGAUUUUUUUCGGCGUAAAGCGUGAUUAAAGUUAUUAUAAUAACUAUAGCUAUAUUAAAACUAAGCUGUGACACGCUUGUUUUUAAGAAACCCAAAAACGAAAGUUACUAUAUUUACACCAACUUGAACCCACGACAGCUGGAACACAAACUGGGAUUAGAUACCCCACUAUGUCUAGCCGUAAACUUUAAACUACAUCCACCUCGCCAGGGAACUACGAGCAAAGCUUAAAACCCAAAGGACUUGACGGUACCCCACAUCCGCCUAGAGGAGCCUGUCCUAUAAUCGAUAACCCCCGUUCAACCUCACCAUUUUUAGCCUAUCAGCCUGUAUACCUCCGUCGUCAGCUUACCUCGUGAGUGAUGAAUAGUAAGCUUAACGUUCAUACACCAAUACGUCAGGUCAAGGUGCAGCAAAUAAAAUGGGAAGAGAUGGGCUACACUCUCUAAUGUAGAACACACGAAAGACUAUUCAUGAAACCUAGUCAGAAGGUGGAUUUAGCAGUAAAAAGAAAUCAUAAUGCUCUUUUUAACACGGCACUGGGGUGUGUACACACCGCCCGUCACCCUCUUCGAAGCUAAAAAUUAGUACUUAACACAACAAAGCUAACCAGAAGAGGCAAGUCGUAACAUGGUAAGCGUACCGGAAGGUGUGCUUGGAAA
rnacentral:ncRNA from 1 species